AGUGAUCCACCUGGGGAGUACGGCCGCAAGGUUGAAACUCAAAGGAAUUGACGGGGGCCCGCACAAGCAGUGGAGUAUGUGGUUUAAUUCGAAGCAACGCGAAGAAACCUUACCAGGUCUUGACAUCGUGCGCAUAGCCUAGAGAUAGGUGAAGCCCUUCGGGGCGCACAGACAGGUGGUGCAUGGUUGUCGUCAGCUCGUGUCGUGAGAUGUUGGGUUAAGUCCCGCAACGAGCGCAACCCUUGUAUUUAGUUGCUACGCAAGAGCACUCUAGAUAGACUGCCGUUGAUAAAACGGAGGAAGGUGGGGAUGACGUCAAAUCAUCAUGCCCCUUACGACCUGGGCAACACACGUACUACAAUGGCGUAUAACAGAGGGAAGCAAAACAGCGAUGUGGAGCAAACCCCUAAAAUGCGUCUCAGUUCAGAUCGCAGGCUGCAACUCGCCUGCAUGAAGUCGGAAUUGCUAGUAAUCGCGGAUCAGCAUGCCGCGGUGAAU
rnacentral:rRNA from 1 species